rnacentral:rRNA from 1 species
UUCGAUUCUGGCUCAGGAUGAACGCUAGCUACAGGCUUAACACAUGCAAGGUCGUGGGGCAGCAUGUUGUGUGCUUGCACACAAUGAUGGCGACCGGCGCACGGGUGAGUAACGCGUAUCCAACCUGCCCUUUAGUAGGGGAUAGCCCGGUGAAAAUCGGAUUAAUACCCUAUGUUGUGCGAAGCAGACAUCUAAUUCGUACCAAAGGCUUGCCGCUAAGGGAUGGGGAUGCGUCUGAUUAGAUGGUAGGCGGGGUAACGGCCCACCUAGUCAACGAUCAGUAGGGGUUCUGAGAGGAAGGUCCCCCCACAUUGGAACUGAGACACGGUCCAAACUCCUACGGGAGGCAGCAGUGAGGAAUAUUGGUCAAUGGGCGAGAGCCUGAACCAGCCAAGUAGCGUGCAGGAUGACGGCCCUAUGGGUUGUAAACUGCUUUUAUGCGGGGAUAACGUGCCCCACUAGUGGGGUAUUGCAGGUACCGCAUGAAUAAGGACCGGCUAAUUCCGUGCCAGCCGCCGC